CGCCGGGCUUGGGAUGCGCGCCCCGCGAGGUCCCGUCGGACACAGGCCCCCCUGGUGAGACAGCCAGGACCGGGACCACGCUUGACGGAACAAAGGCCACGAGCCAAAGACAGGGCUGUAAGCUGGCCUUUCCAUGAAAAUGACACUUUUAAAUGUAAUGAGGUUGUGUUGAAGCCAUUUGGGGACUGAUUUGGGGACCAUUUGGGGGGGCCACUUAAAUGUGCUGGGUUCUGACCUGUUCGCUGUGAGCCGUUCUCACCGGUGACGCUUGAGCGGCAGCGUUGUUGUCAUUGCUACUGUUCACACCCUCUGGGUUGUUGUGAGGAUUAAAGAUCAUGUCUGUAAAUUCUCUGCCACGUGGAGAAGAAAUCAGGACCCAGGGAGAGGAUGUGAUGAGUCCAGGGCCACACUGAGAGAGAUCAGACAGCCUGUGAUUUCACCAUAUGGGAACUCCUUUUCUUGCAUAUGUAGAUAAUUCCUGACAAUUGUGUUUAGUUAUUUCCUGUGUGACUCACUUUGAACAAAUCUGGUGGAAGUUAUGGUGUAUGACUUUUGAGACUAGGUCAUAAAAAGUAUUGUGGCUUCCUUCUUGCUGUCUCUCUUGGAUCACUAACCCUGGAAGAGGCCAAUUGCCAUGUUGGAAGGACACCAAAGCCACCUUAUGGAGAAAUUCACAUGCAAAGGAAUUGAGGCCUCUGGCCAACAACUGGUGAGGUGGCCUCUUGCUACCAACAAUGUGAGUGCACAAUCUUGGAAGCAGAUCUUCCAUGGCUCGCUCACGCCUUCCGAUGACUGCAGCUCCAGCAGAUAGCCCCAGCUGAUAUCUUGACUGAAGCUUCACGGGAGACCCCGGGCCAGAACCACCUAGCCAAGUCACUCCAGAAUUCCUGGCCCUGAGACAAUAUAAGAUGUUUGUCAUUUUAAGCUCACAACCUUUGGGGUAAUUGUUACACAGCAAUUGAUAACUAAUAAUACUAUUAAAUGUCUUAUUGUGGAAGAAAUGUUUUACAUAGAGGAAAAUAGCCAUAUUUUUACAGUUGGGAUUAAUAAUUUGAUAAAAAAUGAAUAAAACACUUUAUGCUUUACCAUUUACUGGGCAGCUGAUUUUGCUAAAUCUCAUCCAGGACCAGUUAAGAUCCUUAAAAACUGUCAACACAGAAAAUAUAUGGUAGCCACCCUCCCCCACAGGUAUUUAAAAACAAG
rnacentral:lncRNA from 1 species